CCUACGGGAGGCAGCAGUAAGGAAUAUUGGUCAAUGGACGCAAGUCUGAACCAGCCAUGCCGCGUGAAGGAUGAAGGUCCUCUGGAUUGUAAACUUCUUUUAUAGGGGGCGAAAAAAGGUUUUUCUAAAUCACUUGACAGUACCCUAUGAAUAAGCACCGGCUAACUCCGUGCCAGCAGCCGCGGUAAU
rnacentral:rRNA from 1 species